AUACGGAGGGGGCUAGCGUUGUUCGGAAUUACUGGGCGUAAAGCGCGCGUAGGCGGACCUGUAAGUCGGGGGUGAAAGCCCGAGGCUCAACCUCGGAACUGCCUUCGAUACUACAGGUCUUGAGUCCGAGAGAGGUGAGUGGAAUUCCUAGUGUAGAGGUGAAAUUCGUAGAUAUUAGGAAGAACACCAGUGGCGAAGGCGGCUCACCGGCUCGGUACUGACGCUGAGGUGCGAAAGCGUGGGGAGCAAACAGGAUUAGAAACCCCGGUAGUCC
rnacentral:rRNA from 1 species